CAGAUGCAUUGGAUUUUGAAAAAAAGCUGUAUAACCUUGGUACAAUUGGUUCCAUAAUGAAUACCGUUGCCGAUGCAGAUAAAAAUGCUUGUAGAACUAAAUAUACCAUAAGAAUGAAUUUUGUCAAUAU